ACUCCUACGGGAGGCAGCAGUGGGGAAUAUUGGACAAUGGGCGGAAGCCUGAUCCAGCAAUGCCGCGUGUGUGAAGAAGGCCUGAGGGUUGUAAAGCACUUUCAGUCGUGAGGAAGAUUAGAAGUUUAAGAGAUAUCUAUGAUGACGUUAGCGACAGAAGAAGCACCGGCUAACUCUGUGCCAGCAGCCGCGGUAAUACAGAGGGUGCAAGCGUUAAUCGGAAUGACUGGGCGUAAAGAGCGCGUAGGUGGUUAAUUAAGUUAGAUGUGAAAGACCCGGGCUUAACCUGGGGUGGUCAUUUAAUACUGGUUGACUUGAGUGCAGGAGAGGGAAGUGGAAUUUCCGGUGUAGCGGUGAAAUGCGUAGAUAUCGGAAGGAACACCAGUGGCGAAGGCGACUUCUGGCCUGCAACUGACACUGAGGCGCGAAAGCGUGGUUAGCG
rnacentral:rRNA from 1 species